AUCUGAAAUGCUGAGCAAAGAAGAAAUUGCAGGCCUUCUACAAGCUUACAGUGAGAGAGUUAUUACAUCAGGAACAAGACAGAUCUGUAUCAGUCGAACCAAUGUUUGGACCACAGCCUUACGUGUGUUUAAGAGACCCAGUUUUGCAGAAAGCUGUGACAUGCUCUAUGUCACAUUUGCAAGCGAUGAACAUGAUGCUGUGGAAGAUGCUGCUGACCUUGGAGGUCCCAGACGAGAGUUUUUCCGAUUACUGGUGAAGGCUAUCUUCCAAGACAGUGGAGCUUUUGAAGGCACGCCAAAUGGAUGUUCACCAAGACUGAACAUUCUCCACUUGCAAAAUGGACUGUAUCGAACCAUUGGCAGGAUGAUGUCUACAAUAAUAAUACAAGGGGGUGAACCACCUGCAUUCCUGUCCCCGAGUGUAGUGGACUACAUUGUGUCUGGGGACAUCCUUCAGGUUCAUGUGACACCUGACGAUAUAGGUGACCCUGAUUUAAGGGAGAACCUCAAAAAGGUUCAACAGGCAACCUUGCAGGAUGAUUUGGAGAAAG